rnacentral:rRNA from 1 species
CUAUACAUGCAAGUCGAGCGAAUGACGAGAAGCUUGCUUCUCUGAUUUAGCGGCGGACGGGUGAGUAACACGUGGGCAACCUGCCCUACAGAUUGGGAUAACUCAGGGAAACCUGGGCUAAUACCGAAUAAUCCUUCGAAUCACAUGUUUUGAAGUUGAAAGGCGCUUCGGCGUCACUGUAGGAUGGGCCCGCGGUGCAUUAGCUAGUUGGUGGGGUAACGGCCUACCAAGGCAACGAUGCAUAGCCGACCUGAGAGGGUGAUCGGCCACAUUGGGACUGAGACACGGCCCAAACUCCUACGGGAGGCAGCAGUAGGGAAUCUUCCACAAUGGACGAAAGUCUGAUGGAGCAACGCCGCGUGAGUGAUGAAGGUUUUCGGAUCGUAAAACUCUGUUGUAAGGGAAGAACAAGUACGUUAGGAAAUGAACGUACCUUGACGGUACCUUAUUAGAAAGCCACGGCUAACUACGUGCCAGCAGCCGCGGUAAUACGUAGGUGGCAAGCGUUGUCCGGAUUUAUUGGGCGUAAAGCGCGCGCAGGUGGUUUCUUAAGUCUGAUGUGAAAGCCCACGGCUCAACCGUGGAGGGUCAUUGGAAACUGGGGAACUUGAGUGCAGAAGAGGAUAGUGGAAUUCCAAGUGUAGCGGUGAAAUGCGUAGAGAUUUGGAGGAACACCAGUGGCGAAGGCGACUGUCUGGUCUGUAACUGACACUGACGCGCGAAAGCGUGGGGAGCAAACAGGAUUAUAUACCCUGGUAGUCCACGCCGUAAACCAUGAGUGCUA